rnacentral:lncRNA from 1 species
UCCACUCCCUUCUGCCAUUUAUGAACCCUCAAUCUGGGUUGGUUUUCCUGGGAGAGGAGGGACAUACCCCCUCCCCCAUUCUCCUUCCAUGCAUCUGGGAUGGGCUCUCCCCUUGGCUUCAGUGAUGAACCGUGUGGCCCAGGCUGGCCCUCAGCAAAUGUCUGACAACUGAGCAUCUAGAUGAACUGAGCCCCCUCCUCAGGCCCCUUGUGUAGGGAACCGGUGGGCAGAGGCCUCAUCCCCUUCUCUCAUCUCUGGUGAGACACCACCACACAGCCACAUUCCCUGGAGAUUGGAGUGCCUGCACC